GCGAGCUGCAAGAGAAACUGGAGAUGCUGUUUCUAUUCCGGGCAUCUGUGCACUGAGCUAAAAUUCUAUUCCUGGGGAAGAAGAGAGGGGGUAACAGGGGCCAAUUUAUUUUCUAACUAAAGGACAUUUUACACACAGGAAAAGAUCAAGAGCAAAGGCUCUGAGGAGGGAGAGACCUUGUUUAAAGAAGAGAAAGAAGGCCAGCGUCACUCAGCGAUGGUUAAAGAGGAUGUGGGUUCAGGGAUGCAGACGGGGACGAGGCCACGUGAGGAUUUUUAAACCACGGUAAAGCGUGUGGACUUUCUGGCCAGCAAGAAGAGAACGUUCCAUGGUGGGAUCUGCUCUGAAGUCUCCGGUGUGUAAUAUGACGUGACCAUUAGGAAGGUGAAAGAGGACCAUGACAGCACCUGGACAGCUGAACAUAAACAUUUCAAAGGAAUAUUCUUAACACAGGCAAAGCAUCUAAAGGAAGAGUACUUUUUUGUUAUUAUUAUUAUUUUUAUAAAAAAUAAAUAAUAAAAAAUUAAAAAAUAAA